GACGAACGCUGGCGGCGUGCUUAACACAUGCAAGUCGAACGGUACUUACUAAGUAGUAAUACGAAGUUUGUAUAGUGGCGGACGGGUGAGUAACGCGUGAGCAAUCUGCCUUUAAGAGGGGGAUAACACCGGGAAACCGGUGCUAAUACCGCAUAAGACCACACUGCCACAUGGCAGAGGGGUAAAAGGAGCAAUCCGCUUAAAGAUGAGCUCGCGUCCCAUUAGCUAGUUGGUGAGGUAACGGCUCACCAAGGCUGCGAUGGGUAGCCGACCUGAGAGGGUGAUCGGCCACACUGGAACUGAGACACGGUCCAGACACCUACGGGAGGCAG
rnacentral:rRNA from 1 species